GACGUAGGUGGCGACCGUUAUCCGGAAUUAUUGGGCGUAAAGGGUGCGUAGGCGGCAUGAUAAGUUAUUGGCGGCAAAUCGAGGCUCAACCUCGUGGAAACUGAUAAUACUGUCUUGCUUGAGUGCAGAAGAGGUUAACGGAACUCCAUGUGGAGCGGUAAAAUGUGUAGAUAUAUGGAAGAACAUCAAUAACGGCGAAGGCAGUUAACUAUUCUGUUACUGACGUUGAGGCACGAAAGCGUGGGGAGCAAAAAGG
rnacentral:rRNA from 1 species